UCCUUAUGGCCCUCAUAAGCAUUACCGAGCAAGUUCUAAAGGUAAAGACAGUAAUCGACACUCUCAACAAGAAAUAAAUACAAGCAUAUAAAGUGUAUGCUUACAAUUAAGGCUCAAUUUCUCACAAGUGUGCUUUUUGAGUAGGUUCCAAACAAAAAUCAUCAAAACAGAAUUAAAUAAACCAAAGCAACUUAGUGCAAAACUCAAACUAAUUAUCUUACAUUCUUCCGCAAGACUCAACACUAUCGGUUUUACCCGAU
rnacentral:lncRNA from 1 species